rnacentral:lncRNA from 1 species
AUGGCUCCAGAUGGGGAAAGGCAAAUAGCCCACCGGUUGAGGAAGUUGAAAACAAUGCAAGAUACACAUUGCUAUAGCAAAGGUUGUUACAGCAGUACAAGAAGUUUUUCCAUACCAAAGAUAAGAGGAAGCACCGCUGGGAGAGCAGGCCAGCAAAAAGGUCUAGAAGCUGAUGAGAUUUACACCAUUAAAUAAAAACAAACAAACAAAAUAGACCUCACGGGAGAAAAAAGCAGAGAAGUAGCAAAUGGCAUCAGAAUGAAACUGACCAAGUUCCAAGCUGGUGAAAGGAGAGAGAGUUUAAAGAUGCCAAGCAGCUUUGAAANUGGUGAAAGGAGAGAGAGAUUAAAGAUGCCAAGCAGCGUUGAAAAGCCCAGACUGGUCUGAGUCAGUGACCUUGGGCUAGGACUGAGGCCAA